rnacentral:rRNA from 1 species
UGUUCCUACGGGGCGCAGCAGUGAGGGAUAUUGGUCAAUGGGGGAAACCCUGAACCAGCAACGCCGCGUGAGGGAAGACGGUUUUCGGAUUGUAAACCUCUGUCCUCUGUGAAGAUAAUGACGGUAGCAGAGGAGGAAGCUCCGGCUAACUACGUGCCAGCAGCCGCGGUAAUACGUAGGGAGCGAGCGUUGUCCGGAUUUACUGGGUGUAAAGGGUGCGUAGGCGGGUAAGCAAGUCCGAAGUGAAAUCCCUGGGCUUAACCCAUGAACUGCUUUUUAAACUGUUUAUCUUGAGU